GUCCUGGCCGUAAACGUUGGGCACUAGGUGUUGGAGGCAUCGACCCCUCCAGUGCCGCAGCUAACGCAUUAAGUGCCCCGCCUGGGGAGUACGGCCGCAAGGUUGAAACUCAAAGGAAUUGACGGGGGCCCGCACAAGCGGUGGAGCAUGUGGUUUAAUUCGACGCAACGCGAAGAACCUUACCCAGACUUUACAUGCACGGGACCGGUGUUGAAAUACACCUUCCCUUCGGGGCUCGUGCACAGAUGCUGCAUGGCUGUCGU
rnacentral:rRNA from 1 species